UACGUAGGUGGCAAGCGUUGUCCGGAUUUAUUGGGUUUAAAGGGUGCGUAGGCGGCCCAUUAAGUCAGGGGUGAAAGACGGUAGCUCAACUAUCGCAGUGCCUUUGAUACUGAUGGGCUUGAAUGUACUUGAGGUAGGCGGAAUGUGACAAGUAGCGGUGAAAUGCAUAGAUAUGUCACAGAACACCAAUUGCGAAGGCAGCUUACUAAAGUAUGAUUGACGCUGAGGCACGAAAGCGUGGGGAUCAAACAGG
rnacentral:rRNA from 1 species